rnacentral:snRNA from 1 species
AUACUUACCAGGCAGGGGAGAUACCAUGAUCACAAAGGUGGUUUUCCUAGGGUGAGGCUCAUCCAUUGCUCUACGGAUGUCCUGACCCCUGAGAUUUCCCCAAAUGUGGGGAAACUUGACCACAUAAUUUGUGGUAGUGGGGGACCACAUUCGUGCUUACUCCUA